UAGCAAAUUUCGUUCUUUUGAGAAGCUACAAGGUAUCAAUCCUAUUUCUUUGUUGUUGCAGUAGAGUGGAUUGAGGUACCAGUUCCUAUACCUCUGAAGAUGCAGUAGGAUGGAAUGAAGCUACUUGAAGGAAAAGAGCCCCGAAGUCCAGCACAGUCAGGCAAAAUUGGCCAUUUCUAAAGUCUUUGCUCUGUUCCCGUUACACGAUAACGAGCAAAGAGGGGCAGCUGUAAUAGGCCAAUUUUGGCCUGACUAAAAAGCUAAUAGCCCAUUACUAAACCCAAUUAACCCAAGCCUAGAUUAAACCCAAAUUAGCCCAAAUAUUAGCCCAUAACAAAAACAAAACAGCAGAAACUUAGAAGCAGCCUCUGUUGCAGCAGUUUCAGCACGCACGUCGCAGUAACCGCCCCGCGUCUUCGCUUGCACGUCCGCUCGCACAACGCCCACGCCUACAAUAAACCACGAAUCACAGCACAACAGGAGGGGAUAGGAGUUAAUUAAUGGUUAUUAGUUUUGGGUAUAAGAGGCCGAAUGUAAACUGAUUUUGAGGAGCAAAUUUGUAUACCAAGAUUAAAGAAAAAGAGAAAAGAGGGAGAGAAAUCAAAUCUGUAAAAAGGGAUUUUAGCAAAAAAAAUAUUGUGAACAUUAAUAGAAAAUACAAUAGAAAGAAAAGGAUUUUGGAAGGUAACAGUUUGUUUUUUUUUUCUUUCUGUUCUUUUAUUGUUUUCAUUUGCUUUUGUUUUCCUUUGUUUUUUUUUUUGGAAAAAAUAAUAAACGCAAGGGAAAGGGAAAAGAAGGCUUACCGUCGGGAGAUUCGUCGGAAAGCGACCUCGCUUCGUCGUUUCAUGGUCGGAAAAGGGAGAGGACUAGAAUGGUGGAGGAGCAAAUGAAGAGCUGCGGCACAUUUGUGGGUAGCUGGAGAAGUGUUAUUUUUUAGAGUUUAAAAGUGGGCUUUUAUAGGGCAUUCUUAAAAAUGGAGCAUUUGCGUAAUUGGCCCCCCUGUUUUUACAGUACUUUUAAAUCGUUUUUUAUUUCUUUUAAAUUUGGCAGCACAUUUUAUUACUGUUUCAAAUUGAUCCAAUGCUGCGCAAUAUUUUGGAAGGUUUGGGUAAUUUGCGUUUUCAGUUCUCUACAUGCUGCGCGUGUUUUAAAUUACUCCUUUUCUUGUUUUUAUUUUCAAAUUCGGCUCAUAAAUU
rnacentral:lncRNA from 1 species